UACGGGGGGGGCAAGCGUUGUUCGGAAUUACUGGGCGUAAAGGGCUCGUAGGCGGCCAACUAAGUCAGACGUGAAAUCCCUCGGCUUAACCGGGGAACUGCGUCUGAUACUGGAUGGCUUGAGUUUGGGAGAGGGAUGCGGAAUUCCAGGUGUAGCGGUGAAAUGCGUAGAUAUCGGGAGGAACACCAGUGGCGAAGGCGAGUCUCUGGCCUAAUACUGACGCUGAUGCGCGAAAGCUAGGGGAGCAAACGGG
rnacentral:rRNA from 1 species